GAAUGCUGAGCUACAAUUUUCUGGGUGUAAGAAGCAGAACAACAUGGACUUGAGACACACAAAAAAGCCCUGGCAUCAUACCAGGUCCAUCACCUUUCAAAGGGCUGAAGGAAAAAGAAUGACAGCCCUACUUGGACCACAUUUCCUUGAUAAACUGGAGCUAACGGAAGAAAGUACAGUGUUCCUGUCCUGUUGUCUUCUGUUGAGAGUGCUGGUAGAAUGACUGUUUGGUAGCCAGAGAU